rnacentral:rRNA from 1 species
GAUGAACGCUAGCGGCAGGCCUAACACAUGCAAGUCGAGGGGUAGUUGUCUUCGGACAAUGAGACCGGCGCACGGGUGCGUAACGCGUAUGCAAUCUACCUUAUACUAAGGGAUAGCCCAGAGAAAUUUGGAUUAAUACCUUAUAGUUAAUAGAGUUGGCAUCGACUUUAUUAUAAAGAUUAAUUGGUAUAAGAUGAGCAUGCGUCCCAUUAGUUAGUUGGUAAGGUAACGGCUUACCAAGACGAUGAUGGGUAGGGGUCCUGAGAGGGAGAUCCCCCACACUGGUACUGAGACACGGACCAGACUCCUACGGGAGGCAGCAGUGAGGAAUAUUGGUCAAUGGGCGCAAGCCUGAACCAGCCAUGCCGCGUGCAGGAUGAAGCAUCUAUGGUGUGUAAACUGCUUUUGUACGGGAAGAAAAAAAGCUACGUGUAGCUUACUGACGGUACCGUAAGAAUAAGGAUCGGCUAACUCCGUGCCAGCCGCCGCCGUAA